ensembl:lincRNA A530076I17Rik RIKEN cDNA A530076I17 gene
GGAGCCUAGAUGGCAAGCUGUGUGUGCUGCACGGGAUGGAGCUGGAGAAGUGACCCAAGCCCCUUGGAGAAGCCCAGAAGAUGGAGGCCACAGUUGAACAACUUUGAACUUUUGAAGAGAUUUUUGGAUUUUAAUAGAGACUUUUUUUUUAAAGAUUGAAUUUUAAGUAUUUGAAUUUGUAAAGAUGUUCUAAGUCCGUAAAAUGUUUAUCUUAGGAUGUUUAUAUUAAUGUGUGAUCUUUGGGAUAAACAAUAAAGGAAAGGUUGUAGCUUAAGAGUGAUAUGUUUGUGUGCCAAGUUGACAAGAAGUCAGUUGUGCUGGCUAAUUUUAUGUCAGCUUCACACAAGCUAGUGUAAGUCAAAUAAGCCCUUUCCUUCCCACAUUGCUUCUGGUCCUGGUGUUUCAUCACAGCAAAAUUAACCCUAACAAGCACGUUCUAAUUGCAUAUUUAUCCUUCUUUAAAAUGAUAAUGAAUUUCAGAGUUCACCUUUCUGGCUUAGAGUUACUAAGUUAUCAACUUAGAAAACUCCCAGAAAGUUGGACUUACCCAAUUAACAUUGAUUUUGAUCUAAUGGGGCUUUCAUGAUAUUUGAUAAAUUUGUAUGGUCCAAAGAACUAUAGGUCCCCUAAGGAAUAUCCCUAAGCUUACUGAAAAAUGUGCUAAAGUUUAGUUCCCAGAACCCCAUGGACAGGGACAAGGGCACCAGGACGCUCCAUAGUAUUGAAUUGUGCAGAGUGCAGACUUACAACAAGGACUCCCUGUGAGCUGAAAUUCAUGCCCAUGGCCUUUCCAAAAAGAAGGAACAAAAAAGAACUUGUGAACAGCUCUAGAAAAAAAAAAAAGGGUGUGUGUGUGGGCUUUUUCAGGCCCUUCCAGGACAGAGAAGUUGGGUUCCUUCCCCUGACCUCCAUGGGGAUUGGCCAAGAGUUCUAAGAAGACGGUUUUGCAACUAAGAAAUCACAAGGCUGGAGUGAAAUGAAAACAAGCAAGGUCCUUUAUCAGCUGAGGACCAUUGGCUCUACUCUGUAGGACUUCAGACAGAGGAAAAUCAAGGGCUAAAGCAGAAAAAUGUUGCAACAUAGGAAAGACUCCCUUUGCAUGAUGUGCCUGCUACCAACUAUGACAGAUGACAGUCACGGGAGCCACCACCAAAGGGUCCAUGUAUGCUGUCUCACUUUGCAUUUAAUAAUACCCACCUCUACAAAGAAAGGCAAGUAUAUCAGCCCUGUGCUGGAUGUUGAGUCCAAGUGCACAGGUCACAGACCUUGCAUCUGUUUGCAGUGUACAUGGGAUUUUUAUGAUAUCUGUUGAUAAUAAUUUUAUUCAAAUAUGCUUAUUCUCAUGGUCAUAUCAGGAGACUUCUUCAAGAAAAUCGAUCUUUAAAACAUAUAGGCUUAAAUCGUAUUUUAAAAUAUUAUAUUUCAUUUGGCUUUACUUAUUUUGAAAGCUAUUUUAAUGAUACAAAUACCAUACAGUGUAUGUUUGUCAUAUAAAUUUCAAAUAAUGUAAAACCUAAAGUCAACCUUUACUUACUCCCCAAUAUCCAGAAUAAGAAUGUGGGUACUUUUGGAAAUGAUUCUUUCAGAAUUUUACAGUGAUCUACAUCUACAAAAAGAAAGGUGUAGAAAUACUCUUGACUAUGUAUGUAACAUGUAUGUUAUAUAUGUAUGUGUAUAAAUUUACAUAUAUACUGUGCAGUUGUUUUAUUGUAACAAUAAAAUCGUAGGUUACUGUUUUAU